rnacentral:rRNA from 1 species
AAGUUAUUUCCCGAGUGCUACAGCUACGCAUCAGUAUCCGCUGGGGAGUACGUCGCAGCUAAACUCAAGGAUGACGGGGCCGCACAGCGUGAGUAUGUGUUUAUCGAGCACGCGCAGACCUUACCUACCCUAACAUCCGGGGCGGUAGCAGAGAUGGUACUUUCUCAUCGGAGACUCGGUGAUAGGUGCUGCAUGGCUGUCGUCAGCUCGUGUCGUAGGAUGUCUGGUUAAGUCCCAAUAACGAGCGCAACCCUUGUCUUUAGUUACCAGCAUUAAGUUGGGUACUUUAAAGAGACUGCCGGUGUCAAACCGGAGGAAGGCGGGGAUGACGUCAAGUCCUCAUGGCCCUUACGGGUAGGGCUACACACGUACUACAAUGGCAGAAACAAACCGUUGCAAAGCCGCAAGGUGGAGCCAAUCGGUAAAACACUGUCUCAGUCCGGAUUGGAGUCUGCAACUCGACUCCAUGAAGUUGGAAUCGCUAGUAAUCGCUGAUCAGCAAGCAGCGGUGAAUACGUUCCCGGGCCUUGUACACACCGCCCGUCACACCACGAGAGUGGUCGUAACCAGAAGUGCGUGAGCUAACUUCGGAAGCAGCGCACCAAGGUUGUUGCCGCGAUUGGGGUGAAGUCGUAACAAGGUAACCCGGGCGGCCCGCUCGAGCC